rnacentral:lncRNA from 10 species
UUUGGGUCAUCCAGUCUUGCUUACCUUUUAAUGAGAAAUGAGUCAUCCUCAGUAAUAUGGGAAACGCGAAGUUGAACCCAGUCCUGCUCGAAUUCCUCCACGCUAAUGACACACCUGUGGAUGGUGCGUCUAAGCAGGAAGUGGCGGCUGACUAAACGACUCCGAAUGCGACCAGAUUAAUAAAAACCAGGGUGCUCUGAGGCGACAGUGAAUCUCCUUUUAAGGACUCGUAUGAUAAAACUGCAUAUAAAUAAAACAGUUAACAUCGUAGUUGAUAUUACAGAUAAACUCAUACGGCCUGCUGUGCCAGGCUGGGGAAGGACGCGUGGCCACGACGCCUGUGCUGUUUCUCCAGCUGCCCCCUGGGCCAUGAGGACCAGGCCCUGAGCCGGACACGGCCAAGCCGCGUGCAUGAGCCUGACCCUGUGUCUCCGUCUGCGCUUCUGCCAUCACUUCCGGGGGCAUCUCUUCAUCCACUCGACAAACGACAGGACAGGCCUGCAGCCCUCUCCCACCUCAGAGACUGCACCUUUGAGGUUCCGGAGGUGAAGAACCCCAGGGCCUUCAGCCAGGGCAUGACCACUCGUGGACUCAAGUGGACUCCUCUUGGUGGGCGCAGUGCCUCUCCCACUUUCUCAGAAGAGGAAAGUGUGGGGUGUGGAGGGCGGGGUGAGGGAGGCCACGGAAGGUGGAGGCGGCUGGUGAGACGCUUGUGUUUCCAGGCCUGAGCUGUUGUGGGCACCUGAAAGAACUGGCUUUAAAAGGCAGCGACUCGGUCUCAGGAAGUCGGUAUUUUACACAGGAAAGAAAGAGAUGGGAAAACAGUAGCAAAACCAUAAAUACCGAACAUUCCAACCACGUGUGAUGGAGAAAUGCCUUCUUCCUGCAGCAAAUGCAACUUGCAGAAUCAUUCAGGGCAGCGAUCAUAUCUUUUCUUGUUUUUGACUCUUACCUGUGUACGUGGCAAAGGCACAAAAUCAAUGCCCAAGGAUGUGCACAUCAUCAAGCUCUGUGGCACGCUGAACUCAGUUACUUCCAAUUUCUUAAUAUGUUUCAAAAUCCCUAAAACAAAGCAAAAAAUUUCAUCAUCCUGGAUAUCAUCAAUCCUAAUAUUUCCCUGAAGUGUAUGCCAUAUAUCCCAUCUUUCUCCUCCUGUGUCUAACCUUACAAAAAAAUAAAAUAAGGGCAGGUGCAGUGGUUCACACCUGUAAUCCCAGCACUUUGGGAAGCCGAGGCAGGUAGUGGAUCACUUGAGGUCAGGAGUUUGAGACCAGCCUGGGCAACAUGGUGAAACACCGUUUCUACUAAAAAUACAAAAAUUAUCCAGGCAUGGUAGUGUGAGCACCUGUAAUCACAGCUACUAGGGAGGCAGAGGCAGGAGAAUCACUUGAACCCGGGAGGCAGAGGUUGCAGUGAGCCGAGAUUGUGCCACUCUACUCCAGCCUGUAUGACAGAGUGAGACUGUCAAAAAAAAAAAAAAAAAAAACUAAAGGGGGAAACUAAAAUGAAAGGGCCAGUCUGUCAAUAGAAAAGAUGAUUCUGAUUCUGAUUCUGAUGGGAGGGGCAUAGUUGAUUUACCUGCAAGAGAGCAGGGCACAGAGCAGGUGCUGGUCUCUAAGGUGAGUGUUUUCCUUCCAGGAUCACAGCUGGGGAGACAAAGGAAAGGGAGUCACAGCUGAGAGGCGUGUGAGGCCCCUCCCUGGGCAUUUCAGCCCAGCAGGAGCAUGAAGGCUGAAACAAGAGAAGCCGAAGUGCUGAGAGAGACCCCAGCUGGGGAAGGGCAGGCAGCCAAGGCCAAGGGCCUUCCCACUAAGCCUCCUGUGGGACGGCGGGCGGGGCCAGUGCCAUGGUGGGCCUCGGAGAACCUUGUUUCCACUCUUUGAGCAUCACCUCUACUGUGCUUGGUCCAAUCUUCAUUCCAAGCAGCUGAUUAAAAACAUGAAAUGAACAUUCAUAGAGCACGUGGGCAAAUAUUCCAUGUAGUCUGUAAGCACAGUUCCAUUCAAAUAAACAAGACCGUCUCUAGCUGGGAAGUUGCCUUCAAGAAACACUUGGGAGCCAGCUCCAGGUCCACUGGUGCACCAUCUGUUUGCGUGGUAAGGUGCCCUCUCACAGGGUGCUAGCCCCAGGCAGAGCCAUCAGGGCACAGGGUGGAGCAGGACAGACUCCUCAACGAGGCAGAGUCCUCCGGGAUCCCUUACACUCGGAUGCCAAAUGCCUGUGGAGCUGAUUCCUUCUUGAGGGUGGUCCGUUUUUGAACCCAUGUCAACAUUAGGGUUUAGUUUCUGAGUGUUUUUUACUUUAAAUGUCUUAUGGCCCUCCCACCCUCCUUUCCUCUGAAGGACCACUUCCACCUUGGGUGUAUGUGAAGUCUGGAAUCAGAAGUCACGUUUCCCUUUUGCAGCAAGUACAGAAAAUAAAUGCCAUAGAAAACCUGGUAUUCUUGGUUGUUUAAUCAGAGGGAUCGUAUUU